GACGAACGCUGGCGGCGUGCUUAACACAUGCAAGUCGAACGGAAAGGCCCUGCUUGCAGGGUACUCGAGUGGCGAACGGGUGAGUAACACGUGGGUGAUCUGCCCUGCACUUCGGGAUAAGCCUGGGAAACUGGGCCUAAUACCGGAUAGGAGCCAUUUUUAGUGUGAUGGUUGGAAAGUUUUUUCGGUGUAGGAUGAGCUCGCGGCCUAUCAGCUUGUUGGUGGGGUAAUGGCCUACCAAGGCGGCGACGGGUAGCCGGCCUGAGAGGGUGGACGGCCACAUUGGGACUGAGAUACGGCCCAGACUCCUACGGGAGGCAGCAGUGGGGAAUAUUGCACAAUGGGCGCAAGCCUGAUGCAGCGACGCCGCGUGGGGGAUGACGGCCUUCGGGUUGUAAACUCCUUUCGCUAGGGACGAAGCUUUUGUGACGGUACCUAGAUAAGAAGCACCGGCUAACUACGUG
rnacentral:rRNA from 1 species